CACUGUACGUAACAUUUAAGUAUGAGUUAUCAUUUUGCGUUUUAAAGGUGGACGGUUCAAAGGUUUUUGACGUAGUUGAUUCGUCUAUUAUUUCAUAUAAAUUUUCAUUUUCCUCUUCAGUUAGUCGUGUUUGCCUAUUAUUUAUUCUAUCAUCUGAUGUCAUUUCAUUAUGUUGAAAUUGAGGUGUUAGUGUUCUUGUUUGUCUUCUCCUUAAACUAUACGCUUAUCCGCCAUUAAAUAUAAGACCUAUAGAUGAAAUGAUAACAAAAAGUAUGAUGACCAGUAACGUAAUUG
rnacentral:lncRNA from 1 species